UACGGGGGGGGCAAGCGUUGUUCGGAAUUACUGGGCGUAAAGGGCGCGCAGGCGGUCCUUUAAGUCUGAUGUGAAAGCCCACGGCUCAACCGUGGAGGGUCAUUGGAAACUGGGGGACUUGAGUACAGAAGAGAAGAGUGGAAUUCCACGUGUAGCGGUGAAAUGCGUAGAGAUGUGGAGGAACACCAGUGGCGAAGGCGACUCUUUGGUCUGUAACUGACGCUGAGGCGCGAAAGCGUGGGGAGCAAACAGG
rnacentral:rRNA from 1 species